rnacentral:rRNA from 1 species
GAUGAACGCUGGCGGCGUGCCUAAUACAUGCAAGUCGAGCGAACGGACGAGAAGCUUGCUUCUCUGAUGUUAGCGGCGGACGGGUGAGUAACACGUGGAUAACCUACCUAUAAGACUGGGAUAACUUCGGGAAACCGGAGCUAAUACCGGAUGAUAUUUUGAACCGCAUGGUUCAAAAGUGAAAGACGGUCUUGCUGUCACUUAUAGAUGGAUCCGCGCUGCAUUAGCUAGUUGGUAAGGUAACGGCUUACCAAGGCAACGAUGCAUAGCCGACCUGAGAGGGUGAUCGGCCACACUGGAACUGAGACACGGUCCAGACUCCUACGGGAGGCAGCAGUAGGGAAUCUUCCGCAAUGGGCGAAAGCCUGACGGAGCAACGCCGCGUGAGUGAUGGAGGUCUUCGGAUCGUAAAACUCUGUUAUUAGGGAAGAACAUAUGUGUAAGUAACUGUGCACAUCUUGACGGUACCUAAUCAGAAAGCCACGGCUAACUACGUG